AUAUUUAUAAGUAAAAUCUGCUCAAUGUUAAAUAUAAAUAGCCGCAGAAUUUAACUGUGCUAAGGUAGCAUAAUCAUUUACCUUUUAAUUGAAGGUUUGUAUGAAAGAUUCAACAUUUAAAUACUUUUUUUAUAUAAAUAUAUUAAAAUUAAACUAUACAUAAAAAUGUUUAUAUGAAUAAAAUAGACGACAAGACCCUACUGAACUUCACUAAAGUUUAGCUGGGGAAGCUAGUUAAAAAUUAUUUUAAUUUAAAGUUUUAUAAAAAAAUCUAAUCAAAUUAAAUAUCAAGUUACCAUAGGGAUAACAGCGUAAUAAAUUUUUAAAGCUCUUAUUAAAAAAUAAGAUUACGACCUCGAUGUUGAAUUAAGAUUACUUUUAACCGCAAUAGUACCAAAAGUGGGUCUGU
rnacentral:rRNA from 1 species